UAUGUACUCCCUCCGUCCGAAAAUACUUGUCAUCAAAAUAAAUAAAAAAUGAUGUAUUUAGAAUUAAAAUACGUCUAGAUACAUCUCUUUUUAUCCAUUUUGAUGACAAGUAUUUUCGGACGGACGGAGGGAGUAUCCC
rfam:Triticum aestivum genome assembly, contig: Triticum_aestivum_CS42_TGACv1_scaffold_578250_7BL